CUUAACUUUCUUCGUGUUUUCUUGUAUUUAUUUAUUUUGUUGUGUGUGUAUAUAUAUAUAUAUAUAUUAUUGCUGAUUCAAUGUGUUGAACUGUUUUAUUCAUUACACUAUAAAACUUAACAUUAUAAUUUUAUAACUUGUAAUAUUUCAUUACAGCUAUAUAUUGUUUCUUUUAGGAAUUGGUGUAUAAUCAGAGAAAUAUUUUUCCAAUGAUAGUAAAAUCUCGUGAACUUACUGAAAAUAUUCUUUGUAAAAUCAAAACUAUAUUUUCUAAUCUUGGAGAUGCCAAAGCUGAAUAAGCAGACAAGACUUUUAGCUGCUCCUUUUCUCAGGAUGUUGCCACUAGUAGCUGUCAUAAACCUUAUGUGAUUGCACCAUCAUAGAGUCAAGCUGGCUACCAAUACUCUUUGUCUAUUGUAUAAGAAC